CAUUAAAACACCAAUUCUCAUAUGAUCACCGAAGUUAAGCAAUUUUGAACCUGGCCUGUAACUAGAUGAGUGACCACUUGGGAAUACUAGGCACUGUAAG